GCCAGGUGUGGUGGCACAUGCCUGUAAUCCCAGGUACUUGGGAGGCUGAGGCAGGAGAAUCUCUUGAACCCAGGAGGCGGAGGUUGCAGUGAGCCGAGAUCAAGCCAUUGCAUUCCAGCCUGGGCAACAAGAGUGAAAAACUCCGUCUAAAAAAACAAAGAAGUGGAGUGGACUCCAGGCUGGAGUGGAGUGGCGCGAUCUCGGCUCACUGCAGCCUCCGCCUCCUGGGUUCAAGCGAGUCUCCUGCCUCAG
rnacentral:SRP_RNA from 1 species